rnacentral:rRNA from 1 species
UACGGAGGGUGCAAUCGUUGCUCGGAAUCAUUGGGCGUAAAGCGCACGUAGGCGGCGCGUUAAGUCGGGUGUGAAAGCCCUGGGCUCAACCCAGGAAGUGCAUUCGAAACUGGCGCGCUUGAAUAUGGAAGAGGGUCGCGGAAUUCCCGGUGUAGAGGUGAAAUUCGUAGAUAUCGGGAGGAACACCAGUGGCGAAGGCGGCGACCUGGGCCAAUAUUGACGCUGAGGUGCGAAAGCGUGGGGAGCAAACAGG